GACGAACGCUGGCGGCGUGCUUAACACAUGCAAGUCGAACGAUAACGGAGAGACACGCGAACUUCGGUUCAAAUUUCACUUGGGAUUAGUGGCAGACGGGUGAGUAACGCGUGAGCAACCUACCUCUUACAAAGUGAUAGCCUCGGGAAACCGUGAUUAAUACCAUAUGACACCUUCAUAAGGCAUCUUAAGAAUGUUAAAGCUACGGCGGUAAGGGAUGGGCUCGCGUCCCAUUAGCUAGUUGGGGAGGUGACGGCCCACCAAGGCGACGAUGGGUAACCGGGGUGAGAGGCUGAACGGUCACAUUGGAACUGAGCCACGGUCGAAACUCCUACGGGAUGCAGCAGUGGGGAAUAUUGCACUAUCGAGGGAACUAUGAUGCAGCGACGCCGCGUGAGUGAUGAUGUAAGGCGUGAAGUAAAGCUCUGUUCUAUGGGAAGAAAAUGACGGUACCAUAAGAGAAAGCCCCGGCUAAAUACGUG
rnacentral:rRNA from 1 species